rnacentral:rRNA from 1 species
CAAUAGCGUAUAUUAAAGUUGUUGCGGUUAAAAAGCUCGUAGUUGGAUUUCUUCCAGGGGCAGUCGGUCCACACUACGUGUGCGUAUCUGAUUUGACUUUGGAAUCCUCUUGGGGAACAUCUCUGCGCUUAACUGCGUGGAAUGGUAUUCAAGACUUUUACUUUGAGGAAAUUAGAGUGUUCACGGCAGGCAAUCGCCCUGAAUACAUUAGCAUGGAAUAAUAAUAUAGGAUUUCGGUUCUAUUUUGUUGGUUUCUAGAGCUGAGAUAAUGAUUAAUAGGGACACUUGGGGGCAUUCGUAUUAUCACGUCAGAGGUGGAAUUCUUGGAUUGUGUUACGACGAACUACUGCGAAAGCAUUUGCCAAGGAUGUUUUCAUUGA